AUUGGAUGAGCCCGCGGCCUAUCAGCUUGUUGGCGGGGUAACGGCCCACCAAGGCGACGACGGGUAGCUGGUCUGAGAGGACGACCAGCCACACUGGGACUGAGACACGGCCCAGACUCCUACGGGAGGCAGCAGUGGGGAAUAUUGCGCUAAUGCGCGAAAGCGUGACGCAGCGACGCCGCGUGGGGGAUGAAGGCCCUCGGGUUGUAAACCCCUUUCGGCAGGGACGAAGCGAAAGUGACGGUACCUGCAGAAGAAGGUCCGGCUAACUACGUGCCAGCAGCCGCGGCCGAU
rnacentral:rRNA from 1 species